rnacentral:rRNA from 1 species
GGGGAAUAUUGCACAAUGGACGAAAGUCUGAUGCAGCAACGCCGCGUGGAGGAUGACACAUUUCGGUGCGUAAACUCCUUUUAUAUGAGAAGAUAAUGACGGUAUUAUAUGAAUAAGCACCGGCUAACUCCGUGCCAGCAGCCGCGGUAAUACGGGGGGUGCAAGCGUUACUCGGAAUCACUGGGCGUAAAGAGCAUGUAGGCGGAUUGAUAAGUUUGAAGUGAAAUCCUAUAGCUUAACUAUAGAACUGCUUUGAAAACUGUUAAUCUAGAAUGUGGGAGAGGUAGAUGGAAUUUCUGGUGUAGGGGUAAAAUCCGUAGAGAUCAGAAGGAAUACCGAUUGCGAAGGCGAUCUACUGGAACAUUAUUGACGCUGAGAUGCGAAAGCGUGGGGAGCAAAC